UUCGCUGUAUCAUGGAGUGCGAUGAGUUCUGCAUUAACAUUUACAUAAACGUUAACGCAACCCUUCUAUGGUGCCUUGAAUGGGAGUCACUUCUACCGCUAUCUUCGUACGUUGCUCUAUAUAGGAGUCUUCAUGGACCCUUUGUUUAAUGAAGCAUUGGCAAAUUCUGAGAUGGCCAAGUUUAUCAAUAAGGACCAACUGGAGAGCUUCCGUGGUACUGGUAGAGUGCGUAUUGAGAAUGAAGUUUUGAUUACUGAUGAUGGUCAACUAGAAGAGUGUCAACUAGGCCAAAAUACUCAGAACAGUCCAAGAAAUUGAAGAUUGGAUUGCCGGUGUUGAUGAUGAUUCCAAAUACGAUUGGAUGAAUUUACAACAUUUUGAAGCUGAUAUUGAUAUUAUUUUUAUGUAUUUUGUUAAAAGGUAUAAAAAGAGCAUUAUCUAAUUACAUAUUAUUAUCCUAUUUUCAUGCUUGUAUUGUUAAAAAUGUUGUAUAAAUUAAGAAAUUGAGUUUGUGAUUCUACAUGUUUGAAUAAAAUUGUAGUUUUAUAAA